AGCCAUCCAACUGAAAUAGGAUGCCAAGCGUGUGCUCACUAUUGUCACCACUCACCACUAGUAUGGUUGGCCGCACAUAUGUCAAAGAGCACGAUUUAUCAGUAUCCCCAUGGCCCAGACAGUCCAAAUUUAGCUCAUUUACCACAUCUGUGGCAUCUUGCUACAAGGCAGAUCUUGAAUGUUGUGCCAUACUGCCAUAGUCACCUGCAUAUAGUUACAAAUUAGAACUAUGAUCACAUUUUUUUCCAAGUUUUGAUAAGAAUCUGUUGUUUCAACAAAGCAUGUCAGAAAUCACUGCUCACUACAUUUGACAAUGGUCGUUGCUUGUUUGGGAAUGUUGUGGUGAAGUUUGUCCAGGAAUGUAUUGGAAGUCCAACCCACUAAUUCACCGUCCAUCUGCCAAUGUAAAAGGAAACCCUGAGCAGCUGCAGUCAUUACUCUGUUUGCCUUGU
rnacentral:lncRNA from 1 species